AUGCUCCACAUUCAACGCAGUUGAUGAUACAAAUGAUAUACACAUGCUCCACAUUCCCAUUCAGACAGUUGAUGAUACAAACGAUUACACAUGCUCCACAUUCC
rnacentral:lncRNA from 1 species